rnacentral:rRNA from 1 species
GUCCUAGCCGUAAACGAUGGAUACUAGGUGUGGGAGGUAUCGACCCCUUCCGUGCCGGAGUUAACGCAAUAAGUAUCCCGCCUGGGGAGUACGGCCGCAAGGUUGAAACUCAAAGGAAUUGACGGGGGCCCGCACAAGCGGUGGAGUAUGUGGUUUAAUUCGACGCAACGCGAAGAACCUUACCAAGACUUGACAUUGAUUGAAAGGCUUAGAGAUAGGUCCCUGAACUUCGGUUCACAAGAAAACAGGUGGUGCAUGGCUGUCGU